rnacentral:rRNA from 1 species
GUCGAGCGAGACUUCGGUCUAGCGGCGGACGAGUGAGUAACACGUUGGAACCUGCCCCGAACUCAGGGAUAAGCACUGGAAACGGUGUCUAAUACCGGAUAGUCCCGAAAGGGUAAAGAUUUUUCGGUUCGGGAGGGGCCUGCGGCCUAUCAGCUUGUUGGUGAGGUAAUGGCUUACCAAGGCUAUGACGGGUAGAUGGUCUGAGAGGAUGAUCAUCCACGAUGGAACUGAGACACGGUCCAUACUCCUACGGGAGGCAGCAGUAGGGAAUCUUCCACAAUGGGCGAAAGCCUGAUGGAGCAACACCGCGUGGUCGAUGAAGCCUUUAGGGGUGUAAAGACCUUUUCUGAGAGAAGAAUUCUGACGGUAUCUUAGGAAUAAGCACCGGCUAACUCCGUGCCAGCAGCCGCGGUAAUACGGAGGGUGCAAGCGUUAUCCGGAAUCAUUGGGCGUAAAGCGUCCGUAGGCUGUUUAUUAAGUCGGAUAUUAAAGACAACGGCUCAACCGUUGCAGCGUAUUCGAAACUGGUAAACUAGAGAGUCACAGAGGUAUGUGGAAUUCUGCAUGUAGGGGUAAAAUCCGUUGAUAUGCAGAGGAACACCAAAAGCGAAGGCAGCAUACUGGGUGAUUUCUGACGCUCAGGGACGAAAGCGUGGGUAGCGAACGGGAUUAGAUACCCCGGUAGUCCACGCCGUAAACUAUGGACACUCGAUGUUGGGUUAUUCAAUCGACCCAGUGUCUAAGCUAACGCGAUAAGUGUCCCGCCUGGGGAGUACGAUCGCAAGAUUAAAACUCAAAGGAAUAGACGGGGACCCACACAAGCGGUGGAGCAUCUGGUUUAAUUCGAUAAUAAGCGAGGAAACUCACCUGGACUUGACAUCCUGAUGAACGCUCUAGAAAUAGAGAACUGCCUUUUGGAACAUC